GACCAGACUCCUACGGGAGGCAGCAGUGGGGGAUAUUGCACAAUGGGGGAAACCCUGAUGCAGCGACGCCGCGUGGGUGAAGAAGCGCCUCGGCGCGUAAAGCCCUUUCAGCAGGGAAGAAAAUGACGGUACCUGAAGAAGAAGCCCCGGCUAACUACGUGCCAGCAGCCGCGGUAAUACGUAGGGGGCAAGCGUUAUCCGGAUUUACUGGGUGUAAAGGGAGCGUAGACGGCGGUGCAAGCCAGAUGUGAAAGCCCGGGGCUCAACCCCGGGACUGCAUUUGGAACUGUGCUGCUAGAGUGUCGGAGAGGCAGGCGGAAUUCCUAGUGUAGCGGUGAAAUGCGUAGAUAUUAGGAGGAACACCAGUGGCGAAGGCGGCCUGCUGGACGAUGACUGACGUUGAAGCUCGAAAGCGUGGGGAGCAAACAGGAUUAGAUACCCGAGUA
rnacentral:rRNA from 1 species